rnacentral:rRNA from 1 species
UACGGAGGAUCCGAGCGUUAUCCGGAUUUAUUGGGUUUAAAGGGUGCGUAGGCGGAUGAUUAAGUCAGUGGUGAAAGUUUGCAGCUCAACUGUAAAAUUGCCAUUGAAACUGAUUAUCUUGAGUGCAAAUGAGGUAGGCGGAAUGUGUUGUGUAGCGGUGAAAUGCAUAGAUAUAACACAGAACACCGAUUGCGAAGGCAGCUUACUGGGAUGCAACUGACGCUGAGGCACGAAAGCGUGGGGAU